rnacentral:rRNA from 1 species
CUAGGGGAGGAGAGGGGAGGAGAGGUGGUGGUCAACGUCGGAGGUGUUCGGUUGGGAGAGGGGAGGAGACGAGAGGUGGUGGUCGGCGUCGGAGGUGUUCGGUUGGGGGAGGGGCGGUGCUGGAUUGGGGGAGGGCCAGAGAGGUGGUAGUCGACGUCGGAGGUGCCCUUGAGAAGUGGCUGUAUCUGCCCCAUAGAGCUGCGGAGCACCUACACUUACACUGGCACCUUCCGACGAGGAUGUCAGCCGGUGUCGAAGGUGGGACACUCCUGUGACUCGUCCGUCACGCAUAACUCCGGGGUGGUAGCGGUUUGGUGAAAGGUGGACAAAGCCGUAACUACGGUUCUCCUAAUGAUUAAUUCAUAAAAGACUCCCAACUACGACCACCUGAGAAGGUGUGUAUAGGAGUAGCUCCACCAGGCAAAUUCUCGAAUGUUCUUCGAGUCCUACGAUAUAUGAGGAUAGUGUAAUUAGACACAUUUAAGUUCAUGAACCCACCCGAAAGGUUUCUCCUGUCCAUACAAACCGUAUGUGAUAUAACCGCAUUACCGUGUUCCUUCUUGAGCUUUCUUCGAAACCUACAUUACUACUUGAUAUUGGGGUGAGCCCUUCAUCAAUUUCGAAAUGACCUGUUCGUGUUACUCCUGGUAGAAAACCUCCUAGAACGUAUACUUUAGUUCUUUCAACACUCAAUGUUUCGAGUGAAGGGUUCUUUUCCAAGAGUCGUACUUACGUCCAGGAAGAGUGUAAAUUUACACGAACAUCUUUCUCCUGGAUUACGGUAGCUUCUAGAAGAGAAGUAACUUUACUGGACGUGUUGUCUACCACUUAAACUCCUUAUGUGCGAAUCAACGUAAACACACCAAAGUAGGCUUCUACUACCACUCACGACACUUACGCCACUACUACACUUCGUAGGGUGACCACGCCUCAUGUUUUUCACACUUCGGUUCGGGGUACAAGCCACGUCCUUCGGAUAUAGUCUUCUUCUUAAAUUACUCAAAUAACAACACGCGCUACUUCUAACCGACCUCUGCCUUCUCCGACGCCACUCCACCGUUAAGUCCUACGCGUUGCGUCGUCUACCGGUACCUCGCUCCCCGUUUAUGUAGCAUGGCCGUUUUGCACACGUCCGUAUCUACAUCUCAGCUACCCCGGAUCACGAACGAAACGACAUACGGUAAGAACACGACGCAAGCAAAAACCAUGGACACUACGACUCAGUCAUGAUACACAGAACUCACAAACCGAACGACUACAUCUUCGGAGCAGACCCACCUCCUAUUCGACCACACUUCUAGGACACGUCUUGGGCACAAAUACCACAUCCACUUGGGUUCAAAACGCCCUCAUUCGACCGUUUUGCUUUCACUGGUACACGAAACAACCACUAAAACAAACCAUUUCGUUACACGAGAACGUCACCUACCAUGGAUGAAUGUCCAUCGAAAAGUACGGACUCUCAGAGUUCUGGACAAAACAACAGUGUCACUUCAUUAGUGCCUUUACUAACUCUUUACUCUCAUGUAGGCACUGCUCUCUUGAAAACAGUUUAACACAUGAGUUUGGAUUGAUAUCAAAUAAAUGUUGUGACAUGAAACAUAGAAUCGUUAGAUUGAAAUUCAUGUAUUGUUGAGUUUGGGUUGAUAUUAAAUAAGUGUUGUGACAUGAAACAUAGAUAGAAUCGUUAACUGGACUUCAUGUUUGGGUUCAUUUAAGGACGGGUGGGG